GUUAUUUGCAACCCUGAAUCUACAAAUCUGUAUCUUUUAUCAAUAUAUUUCCAUUUCUUGUCCGACUGUGAGCUCGAAGUGAAUUAAUCCCAACCGGAAAUACGACUGAAAACCGUCAAAACAAUGCGGCGUUUGUAUCGUAUAACCCUGGAAAGGCCAGAAAUGGAUUCGCAAGGUCAAAUUGCACCUACACGCGUGAGUUUGACGUCAUCCCGGCCAAAGGAGCUUCUUAUUGGCCAAUUAUUGCGCAAUGUACGCAAGUGCGAGUAAAACCCAAUAUCUUGAAAAAUUCAAAAUAAAUAUUUCUAGUCGGCGUAUACAUACGAAACUUUCUACACGAAAGCGCUUGAAUACAGA